rnacentral:rRNA from 1 species
GGUGAAAAGCACCCCGGAAGGGGAGUGAAAUAGAACCUGAAACCGUGUGCUUACAAGUAGUCAGAGCCCGUUAAUGGGUGAUGGCGUGCCUUUUGUAGAAUGAACCGGCGAGUUACGAUUUGAUGCAAGGUUAAGCAGUAAAUGUGGAGCCGUAGCGAAAGCGAGUCUGAAUAGGGCGUUUAGUAUUUGGUCGUAGACCCGAAACCAGGUGAUCUACCCUUGGUCAGGUUGAAGUUCAGGUAACACUGAAUGGAGGACCGAACCGACUUACGUUGAAAAGUGAGCGGAUGAACUGAGGGUAGCGGAGAAAUUCCAAUCGAACCUGGAGAUAGCUGGUUCUCUCCGAAAUAGCUUUAGGGCUAGCCUCAAGUGAUGAUUAUUGGAGGUAGAGCACUGUUUGGACGAGGGGCCCCUCUCGGGUUACCGAAUUCAGACAAACUCCGAAUGCCAAUUAAUUUAACUUGGGAGUCAGAACAUGGGUGAUAAGGUCCGUGUUCGAAAGGGAAACAGCCCAGACCACCAGCUAAGGUCCCAAAAUAUAUGUUAAGUGGAAAAGGAUGUGGCGUUGCCCAGACAACUAGGAUGUUGGCUUAGAAGCAGCCAUCAUUUAAAGAGUGCGUAAUAGCUCACUAGUCGAGUGACACUGCGCCGAAAAUGUACCGGGGCUAAACAUAUUACCGAAGCUGUGGAUUGUCCUUUGGACAAUGGUAGGAGAGCGUUCUAAGGGCGUUGAAGCAUGAUCGUAAGGACAUGUGGAGCGCUUAGAAGUGAGAAUGCCGGUGUGAGUAGCGAAAGACGGGUGAGAAUCCCGUCCACCGAUUGACUAAGGUUUCCAGAGGAAGGCUCGUCCGCUCUGGGUUAGUCGGGUCCUAAGCUGAGGCCGACAGGCGUAGGCGAUGGAUAACAGGUUGAUAUUCCUGUACCACCUAUAAUCGUUUUAAUCGAUGGGGGGACGCAGUAGGAUAGGCGAAGCGUGCGAUUGGAUUGCACGUCUAAGCAGUAAGGCUGAGUAUUAGGCAAAUCCGGUACUCAUUAAGGCUGAGCUGUGAUGGGGAGAAGACAUUGUGUCUUCGAGUCGUUGAUUUCACACUGCCGAGAAAAGCCUCUAGAUAGAAAAUAGGUGCCCGUACCGCAAACCGACACAGGUAGUCAAGAUGAGAAUUCUAAGGUGAGCGAGCGAACUCUCGUUAAGGAACUCGGCAAAAUGACCCCGUAACUUCGGGAGAAGGGGUGCUCUUUAGGGUUAACGCCCAGAAGAGCCGCAGUGAAUAGGCCCAAGCGACUGUUUAUCAAAAACACAGGUCUCUGCUAAACCGUAAGGUGAUGUAUAGGGGCUGACGCCUGCCCGGUGCUGGAAGGUUAAGAGGAGUGGUUAGCUUCUGCGAAGCUACGAAUCGAAGCCCCAGUAAACGGCGGCCGUAACUAUAACGGUCCUAAGGUAGCGAAAUUCCUUGUCGGGUAAGUUCCGACCCGCA